rnacentral:rRNA from 1 species
GUGGGGAAUUUUGGACAAUGGGCGCAAGCCUGAUCCAGCAAUGCCGCGUGCAGGAAGAAGGCCUUCGGGUUGUAAACUGCUUUUGUACGGAACGAAACGGUCCUGGUUAAUACCUGGGGCUAAUGACGGUACCGUAAGAAUAAGCACCGGCUAACUACGUGCCAGCAGCCGCGGUAAUACGUAGGGUGCGAGCGUUAAUCGGAAUUACUGGGCGUAAAGCGUGCGCAGGCGGUGCUGUAAGACAGGCGUGAAAUCCCCGGGCUCAACCUGGGAAUUGCGCUUGUGACUGCAGUGCUGGAGUACGGCAGAGGGGGAUGGAAUUCCACGUGUAGCAGUGAAAUGCGUAGAUAUGCGGAGGAACACCGAUGGCGAAGGCAGUCCCCUGGGCCUGUACUGACGCUCAUGCACGAAAGCGUGGGGAGCAAACAGGAUUAGAUACCCCUGUAGUCC